rnacentral:rRNA from 1 species
AUGGACAAGAAGGUUGAAUUUGGUAUAAGAUAUGGCAAGAGCCGUUUGAACGUCGAGCGGACAAAGUGUUUGCAAGAGAUCGUCUGUGGAUGCUCGGGAAAACCAGAGCAACAGAAUAGCUGGUCUUGCCGCUGCGAGUGCCCUGCGAUGACACAGUCCGUGGAGUCCCCGACUCAGUCCGUGGAAUCAUCCGGGAAAGUGAACCCAGAGGCACCAGGAUGGACUAAGAGAGUUACUCCAUUCGAAGAAACAAUCAGGAGGUACGCUGAUAAGCCAUCAGACAAUGUGGUCAAGCCAGAAACUGGAAUGAGUUUUGACUCUCGGGGAACGUAUGAUUUCUACAAUCUUUAUUCAUGGGAGCUCGGAUUUGGUAUAAGAUAUGGCAAGAGCGAUCUGAAUGUCGAGCUGACGAAAGGUAUGCAGGAAAUUGUGUGUGGAUGCUCGGUCGAGGAAAUUGAAAGGAAGAAGAAGUACAUUGCAAGACACAACAAUGCCGACAACCGUGGGAAGUGGAGCAAGGUUGUUUAUGAGGUGACCAUGUUGGACGAUGGCGAGUGGUUCGAGUGUGAAUGCGGGCAUUUCACUCACAUGGGAAUGCUGUGCUGCCAUGCUUUCAAGGUGAUAGAUUAUGUUGGCGUGACGCAGAUACCGAAGCGGCACAUCCUCAAGAGAUGGACGAAAAAUGCUAGGGACAUCCUGGCCCAGCACCUUGCUCACUUCCAAAGAGACCAAGUGGUGAACCGAUCUUUCAUCUGUCGGAGCUCGAUCCUUUACCUAGAUGCCAUGCAUGGAGCUGGUUAG